rnacentral:rRNA from 1 species
GAUGAACGCUGGCGGCAUGCCUAAUACAUGCAAGUCGUGCGAGAAGCUAUCUUCGGAUAGCGGACAGCGGCGGACGGGUGAGUAACACGUAGAAAUAUACCCCAAGGUGAGGGAUAAGCAUCGGAAACGGUGUCUAAUACCGCAUAUUAUCUAAGGAUAAAAGAUUUAUCGCCAUGGGAAUAGUCUGCGUCUGAUUAGCUAGUUGGUAGGGUAAAGGCCUACCAAGGCGAUGAUCGGUAGCUGGUUUGAGAGGAUGAUCAGCCACACUGGGACUGAGACACGGCCCAGACUCCUACGGGAGGCAGCAGUAGGGAAUUUUCCACAAUGGACGAAAGUCUGAUGGAGCAAUGCCGCGUGCAGGAUGAAGGUCUUCGGAUUGUAAACUGCUUUUAUAGUUGAAGAUUAUGACGGUAAGCUAUGAAUAAGGACCGGCUAACUACGUGCCAGCAGCCGCGGUAAUACGUAGGGUCCAAGCGUUAUCCGGAUUUAUUGGGCGUAAAGAGUUGCGUAGGCGGUAGAGUAAGCAAAUAGUGAAAGGAUGUGGCUCAACCACAUGAACAUUAUUUGAACUGCUCAACUAGAGAGUGGAAGAGGUAGCUGGAAUUAUUAGUGGAGGAGUAAUAUCCGUAGAUAUUAGUAGGAACACCAAUGGCGAAGGCAGGCUACUGGUCCAUUUCUGACGCUCAGGCACGAAAGCGUAGGUAGCAAACAGGAUUAGAUACCCUGGUAGUCUACGCUGUAAACGAUGGAUACUAGCAUUCGGAGGUGUCGACCCCUUCGGUAGCGAAGCUAACGCGUUAAGUAUCCCGCCUGUGUAGUACGAGCGCAAGCUUAAAACAUAAAGGAAUUGACGGG